GAGUUUGAUCAUGGCUCAGGAUGAACGCUGGCGGCGUGCCUAACACAUGCAAGUCGAACGGGAACCCUUGGAUUCGUCUGGGGGGGAGAGUGGCGAACGGGUGAGUAACACGUAGGUGACCUGCCCCAAAGAGGGGAAUAACCACGGGAAACGGUGGCUAAUACCCCAUGUGGUCUAUCGGUCGGACGGUAGAUUAAAGUGCCCCUUAGGGGGUUGCGCUUUGGGAGGGGCUUGCGGCCCAUCAGGUAGUUGGUAGGGUAAUGGCCUACCAAGCCGAUGACGGGUAGGGGGCGUGAGAGCGUGAUCCCCCACACUGGCACUGAGAUACGGGCCAGACUCCUACGGGAGGCAGCAGUGAGGAAUAUUGCCCAAUGGACGAAAGUCUGAGGCAGCAACGCCGCGUGGGCGACGAAGGCCUUCGGGUUGUAAAGCCCUUUUCUGGGGGACGAGGAAGGACGGUACCUCAGGAAUAAGUCACGGCUAACUACGUGCCAGCAGCCGCGGUAAUACG
rnacentral:rRNA from 1 species